UACGGAGGGUGCAAGCGUUAUCCGGAUUUACUGGGUUUAAAGGGUGCGCAGGCGGAUAUGUAAGUCAGUGGUGAAAUCUCUAGGCUUAACCUGGAAAUUGCCGUUGAUACUAUAUAUCUUGAAUGUUGUGGAGGUAAGCAGAAUAUGUCAUGUAGCGGUGAAAUGCUUAGAUAUGACAUAGAAUACCUAUUGCGAAGGCAGCUUACUACGCAGAUAUUGACGCUCAUGCACGAAAGCGUGGGGAUCAAAACAGG
rnacentral:rRNA from 1 species